CUUGCUACAGGCUUAACACAUGCAAGUCGAGGGGCAUCAGGAAGAAAGCUUGCUUUCUUUGCUGGCGACCGGCGCACGGGUGAGUAACACGUAUCCAACCUGCCCUUUACUCGGGGAUAGCCUUUCGAAAGAAAGAUUAAUACCCGAUAGCAUAAUGAUUCCGCAUGGUUUCAUUAUUAAAGGAUUCCGGUAAAGGAUGGGGAUGCGUUCCAUUAGGUUGUUGGUGAGGUAACGGCCCACCAAGCCUUCGAUGGAUAGGGGUUCUGAGAGGAAGGUCCCCCACAUUGGAACUGAGACACGGUCCAAACUCCUACGGGAGGCAGCAGUGAGGAAUAUUGGUCAAUGGGCGCUAGCCUGAACCAGCCAAGUAGCGUGAAGGAUGAAGGCUCUAUGGGUCGUAAACUUCUUUUAUAUAAGAAUAAAGUGCAGUAUGUAUACUGUUUUGUAUGUAUUAUAUGAAUAAGGAUCGGCUAACUCCGUGCCAGCAGCCGCGGUAAUACGGAGGAUCCGAGCGUUAUCCGGAUUUAUUGGGUUUAAAGGGAGCGUAGGUGGACUGGUAAGUCAGUUGUGAAAGUUUGCGGCUCAACCGUAAAAUUGCAGUUGAUACUGUCAGUCUUGAGUACAGUAGAGGUGGGCGGAAUUCGUGGUGUAGCGGUGAAAUGCUUAGAUAUCACGAAGAACUCCGAUUGCGAAGGCAGCUCACUGGACUGCAACUGACACUGAUGCUCGAAAGUGUGGGUAUCAAACAGGAUUAGAUACCCUGGUAGUCCACACAGUAAACGAUGAAUACUCGCUGUUUGCGAUAUACAGUAAGCGGCCAAGCGAAAGCAUUAAGUAUUCCACCUGGGGAGUACGCCGGCAACGGUGAAACUCAAAGGAAUUGACGGGGGCCCGCACAAGCGGAGGAACAUGUGGUUUAAUUCGAUGAUACGCGAGGAACCUUACCCGGGCUUAAAUUGCAGUGGAAUGAUGUGGAGACAUGUCAGUGAGCAAUCACCGCUGUGAAGGUGCUGCAUGGUUGUCGUCAGCUCGUGCCGUGAGGUGUCGGCUUAAGUGCCAUAACGAGCGCAACCCUUAUCUUUAGUUACUAACAGGUUAUGCUGAGGACUCUAGAGAGACUGCCGUCGUAAGAUGUGAGGAAGGUGGGGAUGACGUCAAAUCAGCACGGCCCUUACGUCCGGGGCUACACACGUGUUACAAUGGGGGGUACAGAAGGCAGCUAGCGGGUGACCGUAUGCUAAUCCCAAAAUCCUCUCUCAGUUCGGAUCGAAGUCUGCAACCCGACUUCGUGAAGCUGGAUUCGCUAGUAAUCGCGCAUCAGCCACGGCGCGGUGAAUACGUUCCCGGGCCUUGUACACACCGCCCGUCAAGCCAUGGGAGCCGGGGGUACCUGAAGUACGUAACCGCAAGGAUCGUCCUAGGGUAAAACUGGUGACUGGGG
rnacentral:rRNA from 1 species